GACGAACGCUGGCGGCGUGCUUAACACAUGCAAGUCGAACGGGCCCGCUCUUUUUUGGGGGCGGGUUGAGUGGCGAACAGGUGAGUAUCACGUGAGCAACCUGCCCUCCUCUCCUGGAUAACCGCUUGAAAGGGCGGCUAAUACGGGGUGUUCCGGUUGGUCCGCAUGGGCUGGUCGGGAAAGGUUCAUCGUUGUGGUGUUUCGGUGGGGGAUGGGCUCGCGGCCUAUCAGCUUGUUGGCGGGGUGAUGGCCCACCAAGGCGGUGACGGGUAGCCGGCCUGAGAGGGUGGGCGGCCACACUGGGACUGAGACACGGCCCAGACUCCUGCGGGAGGCAGCAGUGGGGGGUAUUGCACAAUGGGCGGAAGCCUGAUGCAGCGACGUCGCGUGGGGGAUGGAGGCCUUCGGGUUGUGAACCUCUUUCUCCGGUGGUGAAGGCCCCGCCCUUCGUGGUGGGGUUGACGGUAGCCGGGUAUGAAGCGCCGGCUAACUACGUGCCAGCAGCCGCGGUAAUACGUAGGGCGCGAGCGUUGUCCGGAAUUAUUGGGCGUAAAGGGCUUGUAGGCGGCCGGCCGCGUCCGUCGUGAAAUCCUUCGGCUCAACCCGGGGGCUUGCGGUGGGUACGGGUCGGCUGGAGUGCGGUAGGGGAGGCUGGAACUCCUGGUGUAGCGCGGAAUGCCAGAUAUCAGGAGGAACACAGGUGGGGGAAGGCGGGUCUCUGGGCCGUUACUGACGCUGAGGAGCGAAAGCUUGGGGAGCGAACAGGAUUAAUACCCUUGUUUCCAAGGGCGAAUUCCCAUUGGGCUGCACCACGGGGGGAGCGCGUAUUUCUACGGGGCGGCGCUGCGGUGCUCGAUUUAAACAAUACUAUGUCAUAU
rnacentral:rRNA from 1 species